rnacentral:rRNA from 1 species
GACGAACGCUGGCGGCGUGCUUAACACAUGCAAGUCGAACGGAAAGGCCCUGCUUUUGUGGGGUGCUCGAGUGGCGAACGGGUGAGUAACACGUGAGUAACCUGCCCUUGACUUUGGGAUAACUUCAGGAAACUGGGGCUAAUACCGGAUAGGAGCUCCUGCUGCAUGGUGGGGGUUGGAAAGUUUCGGCGGUUGGGGAUGGACUCGCGGCUUAUCAGCUUGUUGGUGGGGUAGUGGCUUACCAAGGCUUUGACGGGUAGCCGGCCUGAGAGGGUGACCGGCCACAUUGGGACUGAGAUACGGCCCAGACUCCUACGGGAGGCAGGAGUGGGGAAUAUUGAACAAUGGGCGGAAGCCUGAUGCAGCAACGCCGCGUGCGGGAGGACGGCCUUCGGGUUGUAAACCGCUUUCGCCUGUGACGAAGCGUGAGUGACGGUAAUGGGUAAAGAAGCACCGGCUAACUACGU